rnacentral:rRNA from 1 species
UACGGGGGGGGCAAGCGUUGUUCGGAAUUACUGGGCGUAAAGGGCUCGUAGGCGGCCAACUAAGUCAUACGUGAAAUCCCCCGGCUUAACCGGGGAACUGCGUCUGAUACUGGAUGGCUUGAGUUCGGGAGAGGGAUGCGGAAUUCCAGGUGUAGCGGUGAAAUGCGUAGAUAUCGGAAGGAACACCUGUGGCGAAAGCGGCUCACUGGACCAUUACUGACGCUGAGGCACGAAAGCUAGGGGAGCAAACAGG